GCCCAGCUAGUUCAGUUGGUAGAGCAUGAGACUCUUAAUUUCAGGGUCAUGGGUUUGAGCCCCAGUUGGUA
rnacentral:tRNA from 1 species